rnacentral:rRNA from 1 species
GACGUAGGGCGCGAGCGUUGUCCGGAUUUAUUGGGCGUAAAGAGCUCGUAGGCGGCUUGUCGCGUCGACUGUGAAAUCCCGCGGCUCAACUGCGGGUCUGCAGUCGAUACGGGCAGGCUAGAGUUCGGUAGGGGAGACUGGAAUUCCUGGUGUAGCGGUGAAAUGUGCAGAUAUCUGGAGGAACACCGGUGGCGAAGGCGGCAUCCUGGACCGAUAUUGACGCUGAUGCGCGAAAGCCAGGGGAGGCAAAGCGGG